AGAGUUAAAUAGUACGUGAAAUUGUUGAAAGGGAAACGAUUGAAGUCAGUCGUGCUAGUGAGAAAUCAACCUUUUGAGUUUGGUCUCGUGGGUUUCGAAGAGUUUAAAAGCCUUCGGAUUUUCGAGAUUGGGUUCUUCUGGUGUACUUUCUCGUACGGUUAGUCAACAUCGGUUUUGAAUGUCAUAAAAUGACUGGAGGAAUGUGGCUUCGAUCUCGUAUUGAAGUGUUAUAGCCUUUGGUAUAUGUGAUGUUUGAGACCGAGGAUUGCAACGGAUACCCUUCUGGGCUAUUCGUCUGAUCUCUGAAACGUUGCCUUGAUGUCGAAAGCUUGCUUAUGAUGUUAGGGUAUUACGGUCAAAAGGUUAGAACACGGAUUAAAUUCGUUAAGGAUGUUGACGUAAUGACUUUAAACGACC
rnacentral:rRNA from 1 species